AUACGGAGGGUGCAAGCGUUAUUCGGAAUCACUGGGCGUAGAGGACGCGUAGGCGGGUUGGCAAGUCAGAUGUGAAAUCCUACAGCUUAACUGUAGAACUGCAUUUGAAACUGCUGACCUAGAGUAUGGGAGGGGGAGAUGGAAUUAGUGAUGUAGGGGUAAAAUCCGUAGAUAUCACUAGGAAUACCGAAAGCGAAGGCGAUCUCCUGAAACAUAACUGACGCUAAGGCGUGAAAGCGUGGGGAGCAAACAGGAUUAGAUACCCUAGUAGUCC
rnacentral:rRNA from 1 species